AGGAUUUGUGGAUGUGUUUGUUCAACUAGGGGACCAAAGACAGAUUAGAGAGGUACAAAGAUAAAUCCUCUUUUGCAACCCAGAACUCACUGUUCAGUGUGAGUUUUGAGAUAAAGAAGAACAAA